rnacentral:rRNA from 1 species
UUUCCGGUUGAUCCUGCCGCCGGCCACCGCUAUCAAGUUCCGACUAAGCCAUGCGAGUCAAGGUAUCGUAAGAUGCCGGCAAACUGCUCAGUAACACGUGGAUAAUCUAACCUUGAGUAAGGGAUAACCUCGGGAAACUGAGGAUAAUACCUUAUAAUUGCUUAAAACUGGAAUGUUUAAGCAAUAAAAGUUCCGACGCUCAAGGAUGAGUCUGCGACCUAUCAGGUAGUAGGUGGUGUAAUGGACCGCCUAGCCUCAGACGGGUACGGGCCCUGGGAGGGGUAGCCCGGAGAUGGACUCUGAGACAUCAGUCCAGGCCCUACGGGGCGCAGCAGGCGCGAACACUGUGCAAUGCGCGAAAGCGCGACACGGGGAGCUUGAGUGUCUUGGCAUAGCCAAGACUUUUCUCAUUCCUAAAAAGCAUGAGGAAUAAGUGCUGGGUAAGACGGGUGCCAGCCGCCGCGGUAACACCCGCAGCACAAGUGGUGGUCACUUUUAUUGAGCCUAAAGCGUUCGUAGCCGGUUUUGUAAAUCUUUAGAUAAAGCCUGAAGCUUAACUCCAGAAAGUCUGAAGAGACUGCAAGACUUGAGAUCGGGUGAGGUUAAACGUACUUUCAGGGUAGGGGUAAAAUCCUGUAAUCCCGGAAGGACGACCAGUGGCGAAAGCGUUUAACUAGAACGAAUCUGACGGUAAGGAACGAAGGCUAGGGUAGCAAACCGGAUUAGAUACCCGGGUAGUCCUAGCUGUAAACACUGCCCAUUUGAUGUUGCUUUUCCGUUGAGGGAAGGCAGUGUCGGAGCGAAGGUGUUAAAUGGGCCGCUUGGGAAGUAUGGUCGCAAGACUGAAACUUAAAGGAAUUGGCGGGGGAGCACCGCAACGGGAGGAAUGUGCGGUUUAAUUGGAUUCACCGCCGGG